UGGGGAAUUUUGCACAAUGGGGGAAACCCUGAUGCAGCGACGCCGCGUGAUUUAGAAGGCCUUCGGGUUGUAAAAAUCUUUUCUAUGGGAAGAAAAUGACAGUACCAUAGGAAUAAGGACCGGCUAAUUACGUGCCAGCAGCCGCGGUAAUACGUAAGGUCCGAGCGUUGUCCGGAAUCAUUGGGCGUAAAGGGUACGUAGGCGGGUAAGCAAGUUAGAAGUGAAAUCCUAUAGCUCAACUAUAGUAAGCUUUUAAAACUGCUCAUCUUGAGGUAUGGAAGGGAAAGUGGAAUUCCUAGUGUAGCGGUGAAAUGCGCAGAUAUUAGGAGGAAUACCGGGGGCGAAGGCGACUUUCUGGCCAUAACCUGACGCUGAGGUACGAAAGCGUGGGUAGCAAACAGG
rnacentral:rRNA from 1 species